UGGGGAAUCUUGGACAAUGGGGGAAACCCUGAUCCAGCCAUCCCGCGUGUGCGAUGAAGGCCUUCGGGUUGUAAAGCACUUUUGGCAGGAAAGAAACGUCAUGGGUUAAUACCCCGUGAAACUGACGGUACCUGCAGAAUAAGCACCGGCUAACUACGUGCCAGCAGCCGCGGUAAUACGUAGGGUGCAAGCGUUAAUCGGAAUUAUUGGGCGUAAAGCGUGCGCAGGCGGUUCGGAAAGAAAGAUGUGAAAUCCCAGAGCUCAACUUUGGAACUGCAUUUUUAACUACCGGGCUAGAGUGUGUCAGAGGGAGGUGGAAUUCCGCGUGUAGCAGUGAAAUGCGUAGAUAUGCGGAGGAACACCGAUGGCGAAGGCAGCCUCCUGGGAUAACACUGACGCUGAGGCACGAAAGCGUGGGGAGCAAACAGG
rnacentral:rRNA from 1 species